GUGGGGAAUCUUGCGCAAUGGGCGAAAGCCUGACGCAGCCAUGCCGCGUGAAUGAUGAAGGUCUUAGGAUUGUAAAAUUCUUUCACCGGGGACGAUAAUGACGGUACCCGGAGAAGAAGCUCCGGCUAACUUCGUGCCAGCAGCCGCGGUAAUACGAAGGGGGCUAGCGUUGCUCGGAAUUACUGGGCGUAAAGGGCGCGUAGGCGGACAGCUUAGUCAGAGGUGAAAGCCCAGGGCUCAACCUUGGAAUUGCCUUUGAUACUGGCUGUCUUGAGUUUGGGAGAGGUGAGUGGAACUCCGAGUGUAUAGGUGAAAUUCGUAGAUAUUCGGAAGAACACCAGUGGCGAAGGCGACUCACUGGCCCAAUACUGACGCUGAGGCGCGAAAGCGUGGGGAGCAAACAGGAUUAGAAACCCCGGUAGUCC
rnacentral:rRNA from 1 species